rnacentral:lncRNA from 1 species
GAUGUUGGAUACCAUUGCUAGAUGGUCACUUCGAUUAGUGUAGGAAUUGGUUCCUGUGCUACCGGCUUAGGUUUGAACCUGCGGGGUCACACACAUUAGAGGUUCCUAUCUGAUCUGAUGGCUGAUGAAGAGUCUUAAUAUUUGUGGACUAUGAGUCCUACAUGUCUGAGACUCUGUGAUCAAAAAUCAGGAUUCUCUGAUCACGAGUUCCACACAUUUUGGGUAUCGGGGUCAAGAGUCCCACUGGUUUGGGACUCU